ACUUAUUACUAACUGAUGUAUAUAUAUAUCAGUGCCAUGAAGGAAAAUAGUAUUUUGUUUAUUGUCUUUCUCCCCAGAUUGGAAUAUAAGCUCCAGAAGAGCUGGCAUUUGAGACCAGAUUGUUCACUUCUGUGUCCCCUGCAUCUGGAACAGUGCCUGGAUUUUCCAGAUGGGUCUAAGAAGUGCAAGCCCUGGAAACAGGCUGCUCAAGGUUCUUAGUGCUAAUUAAUUGAGAGCAAUUCCAGGGUCGCUCUUAUAUGACAUUGCAAUUUUAGGCAUACAGAGAAAGAUAGCUUGUUCACGACAUGUUUAACAUAAAUCUUUUAACACACUA